rnacentral:rRNA from 1 species
GAUGAACGCUGGCGGCGUGCCUAAUACAUGCAAGUCGAGCGAACAGACGAGGAGCUUGCUCCUCUGACGUUAGCGGCGGACGGGUGAGUAACACGUGGAUAACCUACCUAUAAGACUGGGAUAACUUCGGGAAACCGGAGCUAAUACCGGAUAAUAUAUUGAACCGCAUGGUUCAAUAGUGAAAGACGGUUUUGCUGUCACUUAUAGAUGGAUCCGCGCCGCAUUAGCUAGUUGGUAAGGUAACGGCUUACCAAGGCAACGAUGCGUAGCCGACCUGAGAGGGUGAUCGGCCACACUGGAACUGAGACACGGGACAGACUCCUAAGGGAGGGAGCAGGAGGGAAUCGUCCGAAAAGGGCGAAAGCCUGAAGGAGCAAAGCCGCGUGAGUGAAGAAGGUCUUAGGAACGUAAAACUCUGUUAUUAGGGAAGAACAAAAGUGGAAGUAACUAGGCACGGCUUGAAGGUACCUAAUCAGAAAGGCACGGCUAACUACGUG